rnacentral:rRNA from 1 species
UUCGCUUUUGGGAUUUAUCCCUUUUUACUUUGAGAAAAUUAGAGUGUUUCAAGCAGACUUUUGUCUUGAAUACUUCAGCAUGGAAUAAUAGAGUAGGACUUUGGUUCUAUUUUGUUGGUUUGUGAACCUUAGUAAUGGUUAAUAGGAACGGUUGGGGGCAUUCGUAUUUAACUGUCAGAGGUGAAAUUCUUAGAUUUGUUAAAGACGAACUACUGCGAAAGCAUUUGCCAAGGACGUUUUCAUUAAUCAAGAA